rnacentral:rRNA from 1 species
UACAGAGGUCUCGAGCGUUAGGCGGAAUCACUGGGCUUAAAGCGUGUGUAGGCGGAUCGGUAAGUACCUUGUGAAAUCCCACAGCUUAACUGUGGAACUGCUUGGUAUACUGCCAGUCUUGAGCCAGCUAGGGGCUACCGGAACAAAUGGUGGAGCGGUGAAAUGCGUAGAUAUCAUUUGGAACGCCAAUGGUGAAAACAGCUCGCUGGGGACGUACCGACGCUGAGACGCGAAAGCUAGGGGAGCGAACAGG